CGGUGCAGUGCAGGAGGGUCGCGCUGCUGCAGAGGCCGGAGGAAGAACUUCAUGAGCGCUCACGUGACUUAGUUUGGUCCGUCCUGCGUGUGCGUGUGUUUGUGAGUGCGCCUCAGUGCGCGAGGGGAGGCAGGCUUUCAACAACCACAAUGCAACUGGUGCAGUUAAAGCUGAAACUCUUUGUGUGUGUGUGUGUGUGUGUGUGUGUGUGUGUGUGUGUGUG